CGUGCACCAGUGGGGUCCCUUGGCCUGGCCUGCACCCUCUUGCAAUCUGGGACCCCUCAGGGGAUGCUGGAGAUCUGGUUUUGGCCCAAUCCUGCAGGCCAGGCCGAGGGACCCCACUGGUGCACG
rnacentral:pre_miRNA from 1 species